GGAGCCCCAGGAUCCAUUCAGCUGGUGAUUAACUGCAGGAAAGAUCCUGGGAAAUAGAUCAGGAACAGAAAGUAGUUUAUAUCAGCAUGAUCAUUAAAAUUUGAUCAAAAGCAGGGCUCAGCCAGUUACCUUUGGAGGGUUUGCUGAGAGUGAGUUCUGAGACGCAGUCGCCAGCCUUCCCCAUCGUGAACUCUCCCUGAAUUCCCAAGAAAUAUUUUGAGGCAACCCUGCAUAACGGGUCAGAAAGCAGUGGAGCAAAGCACAACUACUUGGAGUUUCCUACGUGGCGGCGACACUUCCCGAAUGCUGACGCUCUGCCCCUCUUCGAAGGCCUGCUUUUAUUUUUCCUGUCCAGGUCAUCUCUGCAAGUCAUUAAAGUUAAAGGUUCCGACUGUGCUAUUCUAGAAAAGACAAGAACAACAGACUCCUUAAGGCUAGCCCAGGCAUGUUCUCAUGGCACGGUGGAGAGACACUACAGAGGAAGUGGAAUCAUGCAGGCUAUUCAACCUUCUAAGUGUGAGAUGUUGCUAACUACCAUCCCGUUGGCCAAAGAAAUAGCCUUGGACUAUAGAGACAGUGGCUCCCUGUGGAGCAGAGGGCAGAGAGCAGGUGUC
rnacentral:lncRNA from 1 species